ACCUCGUCCUCCAUCGUCCAUCACCUCCAUAGGCUUGAAGAAAAAGCAGAUUCGUCGUCUACCUCUUCUUCGCCACCACAAACAUCACCUACUCCGUAGCCACCGACGAACACCACUAACGACCUUUAGGUUGUCCUCGUCUUUGUCCGCAAAGAUACGAUGUGGGUAGAUUCGACUUUUCGUUGGAGGAUCCUGAGUAUCAUCAAGAGACUUUGGACAACUUGAGGGCUGCUAUGAAGACGACUAAGAAUUGGUUCCGCCAUUGAUCUCCUUCAAACUCGAACCUCUCUCACAUCCGAUUAUCCUCUUCUUCUUUUUUUUAAUAGAUGAUUUUGAUUAUUUUUUUCUUCUUUGUUAUUGUUGUUGAGAAACAGAUUGCAUCAGACAAAAUAAAAAUAAAAAGAUUUUGACAA